GAUGAACGCUGGCGGCGUGCCUAACACAUGCAAGUCGAACGGUGAAGCAGGAGCUUGCUCUUGUGGAGCAGUGGCGAACGGGUGAGUAACACGUGAGCAACCUGCCCCUGACUCGGGGAUAAGCGCCGGAAACGGCGUCUAAUACUGGAUAUGUGAUGUGACCGCAUGGUCGGCGACUGGAAAGAAUCUCGGUUGGGGAUGGGGUCGCGGCCUAUCAGCUUGUUGGUGAGGUAAUGGCUCACCAAGGCGUCGACGGGUAGCCGGCCUGAGAGGGCGACCGGCCACACUGGGACUGAGACACGGCCCAGACUCCUACGGGAGGCAGCAGUGGGGAAUAUUGCACAAUGGGCGGAAGCCUGAUGCAGCAACGCCGCGUGAGGGAUGACGGCCUUCGGGUUGUAAACCUCUUUUAGCAGGGAAGAAGCGAAAGUGACGGUACCUGCAGAAAAAGCACCGGCUAACUACGUGCCAGCCGCCGCGGUAA
rnacentral:rRNA from 1 species